GGCUCAGUGGUAGAGUGUGUGCUUAGCAUGCAUGAGGUCCUGGGUUCAAUCCCCAG
rfam:Camelus ferus unplaced genomic scaffold scaffold634, whole genome shotgun sequence.